UGUAAGCGUAUACCAAAGUUGUUGCAGUUAAAACGCUCGUAGUCGGAAUUUGGCAGUUCCGGAUGUGUGCACGUCGUGUGCGCACUUCGCGGGGAUUGCUUUUGUGGUCUUGCGUAGGAUGAGGCACUUUUAUUAGUGAACGUCCUCACGCAACCACUUUUUACUGUGAGAAAAUCAGAGUGCUCAAAGCAGGCAUCUGCCGUGAAUGUAUUAGCAUGGAAUAAUAGAAUAGGACUUGGUUCUAUUUUGUUGGUUUGUUGGGACUGAGUAAUGAUUAAGAGGGACAGUUGGGGGCAUUUGUAUUUCGGUGCUAGAGGUGAAAUUCUUAGAUUACCGAAAGACAAACUGCUGCGAAAGCGUCUGCCAAGGAUGUUUUCAUUGA
rnacentral:rRNA from 1 species